CUGCAAAUGUGCAUGGCUGGUUUUCAAUAAAACUUUAUUUAUGGAUCCUGAAGUUUGAAGUCAUCAUUUUCAAGUGACAUGAAGCAUUAUUCUUAAUUUUUUCUCCCAGCAAUUUAAACAUUUUACAACUAUUCUUAACUCACGGGCUGUACAAAAACAGAUGGCUUUGGCUGCCGAGCCAUCAUUUGCUAAGUGCUUUAGGAUUGCAGUAAUAUGAACAGUUGCUUCAGAGUUUCAAGAAAGAGAAUGUGUUCUUGUAGCACUAGCACAGUAAGCCAUUGCUCAGAGUGUUGCCAUGUAAUAGAAGCAUUAUGACAGUUCUGUAAUUAGUGUGCCCCAUCUCUAAUAUUCCUGAGACAUGGUGCCUUAAUGCAGUUUCAUUUGGCUCAAUCAAGCCCUCCCAGAACUUAUUAGUAUUCUUAGGCAGUGUCGCUCUCACUACAAACGUUAUGAAGAUUGAUGAACCCGACUAUAGGCAGUCUAUUCUUUUGCCUUGAAUAAGCUCUUAAAACCUUUCUCCCUCUUUCCCACUCCAGACCUACCAUCUGUAGCAAGUUAACUCGGAUUUUCCAAUUAAAUCAAGCCUCUCGCAGUCCUUGAUGGCAUAUGGCUGGGCCUCUAAUCCAUGUGUACUGGCUAAUUAAGGAAAACAUAGUUUUUCUAAAAAUAUCAGAGAGGCUGUACUUUGGUCAAGCUGGCUGCAUACUCAGUAUUGUUGGUCAGUUUUCUUUAAAUAUUCGUUUCUUAAGGCUCUGUAGCCCGGCAGUCCGAGUUCCAAUAGUUUUGUCCAACAUGGAGUUGGAGAGUGAUGAAAAGGACAGAGGAUAGCCCUGGCCAGGUGGCUCAGUUGGUUGGAAUGUCGUCCUGUACACCAAAAGGUUGUAGGUUCAGUUCCAGUCAGGGUACAUACCAAGGUUGCAGGGUCAAUCCCCAGUCGGGGCAUAUGUGGGAUGCAGUUUCUCUCUCACAUCGAUGUUUCUCUCUCUCCCAUCCUUCCUCUCUCUCUAAAAUUAAUAAACAUCUGCAGGUGAGGAUGAAAGAGAGAGAGAAAAAGAAAGGAUAGAGUAAAUUGAAGAAUAACUGAAUUUAUUUAGGCCUAAUAUUCUUAUUUAAUUCUCGUCUGCCAUAUUUUGAAUUUAUACAUAAUUUCUCUUUGUUGUUUAAUCUAUUUUAAAAGUUAUUAUUUAGGACAAAAUUAUGAAAAUAAUUUUAAUCAACUUUGAUUAUAGGAGAUAUAUAAAAUGUUUGUAAAAUUUAGAGAAAAAUCCUCCAAAGCCAACCAAGCAGAAAUUAAUACUUUAACCUUUUCUACUUAUACAGGAUUGUAGUCAACAUAUGUCCCCACACAAAUACACAUACAUGCUCUGUAUCUAAGUUUGGUGCCUGCCCUUCUCGAGACUUUUUUUUUUUAUAGAACCCACCUCAUCAGAGUGUCUGAAGAGGUCUAUAGAAACAUUAUGUUUUAUGCUUUGUCUUCUGGAUCCAUAAGUCUCUAUUCUCUGAGUGGCAGUACAGUCAGUUGUGCUAUUAUAUGAUGUAUACAUUCCACAAAAUUGCAUAACAAAACAAAACAACACAUGGCUUAUGAGAAAAAUGAGUCAGGAUACAACAUUCAAAAACUUCAUCAGUGACAUUUAAAAAAGAGUUAGGAACCUAGUAAAAACAGGAGUAUAGUGUUACACAAGUUAAAUGAUUAAAAAAUAGAGUUUACCUUAAAAAAAACAACAAAAAAAUUUCUGAUCUUUGCUUGUAAGUUGCUGUUAGACAUUAGUUUGCUAGGGCUGCCAUAACUAAAUCCCACAGAUGGGGAGGCUUAAACAACAGGAAUUUGUUUCUCACAGUCUAGAAUAGGGCUGGAAAUUCAAAAUCAAUGUAUCACAGGGUUAGUUUCUCUUGACGCUUUUCUCAUUGGCCACCUUCUCCCUGUGUCCUCACAUAGUUUUUGCUCUGUGCAUGCUCACCCUUGUUGUCCUUCUCAUAAGGACACCAAUCAUAUUGGACUAAGUCCCCAAACUUAGAAUCUCAUUUAACCUCAGUUGCUUCCAUAAAGGCCCCAUUUUUAAAUACAAUCACAUAGGACUUCAGGGCUUCCAUGUAUGGACGUUGGGAGACACAAUUCUGUCUAUAACAGUACUGGAAGGGUUACAGCUCAUAAUUUCUAUGAAGCGGAGAAAGGAAGACGAUCCAACAUUGGAGAGCAAGUUGUGACACCAGAUGGGUGUGGCUCGUAGCACGUGUGAAUUGAGGUGGCUUGGAGAUGUUUGAGAGGGGUGUGUGUGUUUUGUGUAUUCCUGCACUGCUCGGGUUGACUCAGUGUAGUUCUCUGCAGUUACCUAGAGCUUCUGGCAGAUGAAAUCACAUACAAGCAAUUAUGAAAUUCUUGUUAUACUCACAUAACACUGGAAGACAUUCAUGGUUUCACAACAAGCUUUGCAGGCGAGAAUGGAACAGGGUAGUGGUGUGGUGGGGGAGCUCUGGAGCCUGGCAGUCCGAGUAUCAGUCUUCUCUCUGGGAAAAACCUCUGGGGUAUUUGGGACAGAUAUUUGCCCCCCCCCCCCCCCCCGUUUCAGUUUCUUUCUUUGUGAAAUGGGGAGGUAGUCAUUGUAGAGUUGCCAUCUAUGCAGUGUAGGAAAAUGUGUGGCACACACAGGGGUGAUGAAUGUUAGGUACUGUCAACACCAUCACACAGCCAGUUGUUAGUCAAGCUGGUGUAACAGGAGCAGCAGCCAAGAGCUAGUAUUGUGUCAAAACCGUGCCCUGGCAGUGUGGCCCCCCCAUAGGCACACUACCUGCCACAGGCAGCUCCGGUGUUUGUCAUUUUGGGAGGAGAGAUCCAAGGAGAACAGGUUCUCAAUUUUAGAUGAAGCUCUUUUUUUCUCUGGAACCCCAACGAGACAGAACCACGUGACCUUGGGGCGGGUGGGGUCACAGGGCUGUUAACGUGGGUUUUACUUACACACAAGAAAAAGAUGCCAAUCCCGUCUGAGUUCAGAGGGCCAGAGCCCUGGGCUUGCUGUUGUGCAGCGACGUGAUAGAAGUGGGCGAGAAAGGGUGUCCCACGUCAGCAGGGACCCGUGCCCACUGUGCCGGCAGAGGCCAGGGUUUUUGAGGCAUCACGUGAGAAAUGUCAGAACACACAGUGAAUGUCUUUGAGCCACCGUGGUUUAACAUUUGCCAGGUGAUUCUGAGGAGGACACAGCUUCCCUCUGCCAGGAGGGAAAGGGAGCAAAGCGUGGAGUCCAGCAUGGCUGGCUUCAGUAGAGCCACCUGUGCUAGAGCCAGGACAGUCUGAUCAGCUGUGGGAGGGGCCAGAGUGGGAACUUGAGUUAAAUGUAAUAUUUACUGGUUACCUCCUAUGUGUUAAAGAGGCAACUGACCUUGAACAAAUUUGAGGCUGGGAAUCAAAUGCACCUGGUUCAUGUCUUGGCUCAAGCUAUAGUACCCUUAGAGAGUAAUUUAACUUUGCUAGGUCCCAGGGGCCUCCUCUGUAAAGGACAAAUGACUCUUCCUCACAAGGUCAUUUGGGAAUUAAAUGAGGGUUACAUAGAAUGUGGGUCUCUCCAUGCCUGAGGCUGCAAAGUUGAAUAAACAACUGUUUCUGACCUUGGACUCACAAGGGCAAUUGAUUCUCCUUAUUAGUAAAGCUGGUCAAAACGUUGGAUAGGGAGCUGUAUAACCUGUGAUACUUAGGUGAUGUGACUUAUGUCUAAGGCCUUUUCCUUAUUGCCCUAGCCAUGGAGCUUUCUGGGUCUUGUAUCUUAAUGUGCCAUCCAGGGCACUAAAUUUAGAUAGUCGAGAAGGAAACACUUUGUUGCUUCCUCUUGGAAAUCUGGUCCAGGUUGCUCUCUCUUUCUGUCCUUCUCUUUCCUCUGCCUCCUGCUGUUCCAGGGCCAGGGAUUCUGCUUCCCUCUGGCUGUUUGCCCUCCUGUGAUUAGCUCAUGGCGGCUACAUCCCUUGGCCAGGGGCAGACAGGAGCCCUAAGAGAAUCCUCAGCCAUUACUAAUUUGACUGUAAUUGUUUUAAAAGUUGGUGCAAUGCACAUGAACCCUGAUGUUGAAAUAUAGUACCUACUCAUUUGAGGGGUGAAUGUUUGUGUAUAAGGUGGUGGUAGUGGAGGGUGGGCAUGUGGACAAAGUAGCAGGAGGCCCAGCCAUUUCCCCUUUGGGAAGAUUUGAGCAGAUUCCAAGUGACUAUUGGGGAAGUAGAUCUUUGGGGUUUCUCUGUAGGCCUCCCCAAAUUUAAAUUCAUUAGCAUAUGGGAAACUUAACUAAAUACAAUUAAGGCCAAUUGCUUUCAUUUUAAAUGCAAGUCAAGCUGCUGGCAAUGUCCAUUGGGCUGUCUUGACUUGAGAGAAUUUAAGAAUUGUAGAAAAAUGACUUUUAAGCCCACCUGGUGUGGCUCAGUGCCUGAGCAUCGACCUAUGAACCAGGAAAUCAAUGUUUGAUUCCACAUGCCUAGGUUGCAGGCUCGAUGGGGGGCGUG